CUUAGUCAUCUGACAAAAGACUUCUCUGCCUCUAGACAGUCGACUCUCAGUUCUGCACAAAUACAUGUGAGGACUAUUUGGUUACAAAUCCGUUCAACAGUAAUGAGUUUGAGGGUGUACAACAUGUGUUACUGUAUUUACUGUACAUAGAAUAAUGAAAGUUCUCUCAUCUGAAGUACUGAUGCUGUGUACUGACCUUUGACCUCAUGAGAACAUAAUUAAACCUUUGCAAAAUUAUGGCCUUUUUUUGAGAAAUGUCUUUGUUUUGAGAACUGUGUGCAUGGUUUAGAAAAUUGGGCCAAAUGAAUCAGUUAUAGUGUGUUAGCAUCAAGAAAAACUGUACCAAGUCACUUGCAUCAAAGCUGGAAGUACUGGCAGCUAUUGCUUUAACUGGUGUAGACAUGUUUACAUAGGGUCAAGGGAAACUUUCACUUUCAAUUGCUUUCAGAUUCUGUUUCAGAGAAACUCUGUGUGUUCCUGUAAAUGGUGUUUGCUCUUCACCCCCUGCACAGCAUCCUCUGCAGCAGUGCUGAGAUCUAAAUCGCUCCUCCAGGAGACAAUCUUCAGGCCUUGAAAAUAAACCCCAGGUGAGUAAGAACACUUAUAGUAUUUGAGUUGAUUUCUAGCUCAUUUUGAAAGCAAGUGUUUUGAUUUA
ensembl:lncRNA